UACGGAGGGAGCUAGCGUUGUUCGGAAUUACUGGGCGUAAAGCGUGCGCAGGCGGUUUUGUAAGCCGGAUGUGAAAUCCCCGGGCUUAACCUGGGAAUGGCAUUCGGGACUGCAAGGCUGGAGUGCGGCAGAGGAGACUGGAAUUCCUGGUGUAGCAGUGAAAUGCGUAGAUAUCAGGAGGAACACCGAUGGCGAAGGCAGGUCUCUGGGCCACUACUGACGCUGAGAAGCGAAAGCAUGGGGAGCGAACAGG
rnacentral:rRNA from 1 species